rnacentral:rRNA from 1 species
UGCAUAUCCAAAAAGCGGAGGAAAAGAAACCAACCGGGAUUGCCUUAGUAACGGCGAGUGAAGCGGCAAAAGCUCAAAUUUGAAAUCUGGUACCUUCGGUGCCCGAGUUGUAAUUUGGAGAGGGCAACUUUGGGGCCGUUCCUUGUCUAUGUUCCUUGGAACAGGACGUCAUAGAGGGUGAGAAUCCCGUGUGGCGAGGAGUGCGGUUCUUUGUAAAGUGCCUUCGAAGAGUCGAGUUGUUUGGGAAUGCAGCUCUAAGUGGGUGGUAAAUUCCAUCUAAAGCUAAAUAUUGGCGAGAGACCGAUAGCGAACAAGUACAGUGAUGGAAAGAUGAAAAGAACUUUGAAAAGAGAGUGAAAAAGUACGUGAAAUUGUUGAAAGGGAAGGGCAUUUGAUCAGACAUGGUGUUUUGUGCCCUCUGCUCCUUGUGGGUAGGGGAAUCUCGCAUUUCACUGGGCCAGCAUCAGUUUUGGUGGCAGGAUAAAUCCAUAGGAAUGUAGCUUGCCUCGGUAAGUAUUAUAGCCUGUGGGAAUACUGCCAGCUGGGACUGAGGACUGCGACGUAAGUCAAGGAUGCUGGCAUAAUGGUUAUAUGCCGCCCGUCUUGAACCACGGACCA